AUGGGACGGCCCGCUGGGCUGUUCCCGCCCCUAUGCCCUUUUUUGGGUUUCCGGCCAGAGGCAUGCUGGGAGCGUCACAUGCAAAUUGAGCGUGCACCCAGCGUUCCGCCCUUUCUACGCUGGGCCGGUUAUCGACCCGGCCCAGUGCGCAGGCGCGGGAAAGUUGAACUAAUAAAGUUUGUACGAGUUCAGUGGAGGAGACCGCAAGUUGAGUGGAGGAGGCGGCGGUGGGGCCCCGGACCAGGUGCCUCCAUGGCAGGCUCUGAAGAGCUGGGGCUCCGGGAAGACACGCUGAGGGUCCUAGCUGCCUUCCUUAGGCGUGGUGAGGCUGCCGGGUCUCCUGUUCCAACUCCACCUAGGUAAGAGGAGUGGCCCUUCUCCCCCAGGGGCCAGCAUUUGAGGCUCCCUCCUAACUCUUGCUCCUGGUCUCAGUCUGUCUCCUCUCUUUAUAUCUGGCUCUAUUCUCUGUCUUUGGGGUUUUGGAGAGAGGUCCUCAGCGGGGGAGGGAGGGAGUUGGGGAAAGAGACUGCUUGCAGGGGAUCUCUGGUGGGGUCAGUCUCUGAAGUCCUCCUCUCCAGAAGCCCUGCCCAAGAAGAGCCAACAGACUUCCUGAGCCGCCUUCGAAGAUGUCUUCCCUGCUCCCUGGGGCGAGGAGCAGCCCCCUCUGAGUCCCCUCGGCCUUGCUCUCUGCCCAUCCGCCCCUGCUAUGGUUUAGAGCCUGGUAAGAGAUUUCCAUGAUCAUCUAUGAAGCCGGCAGAACACGGGAUAAGGCCCAGCUACUCCAGACUUCUAUGCUUUGGUGGCCCAGCGGCUGGAACAGCUGGUCCAAGAGCAGCUGAAAUCUCCGCCCAGCCCAGGAGGGCAUCCUGGCUGUUUCACCCGUGGACUUGAACUUGCCAUUGGACUGAGCUCUUUCUCAGAAGCUGCUACAAGAUGACACCUCAUGUCCCUGCCCUCUUCGUGUGCUUUUCCAAGUCUUCCUAUUCCACUCAGGGCUGUGGGGUGGUGGUUGCCCUACCUGUUUUUGCCAAAAAUAAAUUGUUUAAAACUUUUCUUAUUAAAAACGUUACAAAGUA
rnacentral:misc_RNA from 1 species